UAUGGCCACAUCACAUUGAAACACUGGUUCACGUACGAUCACCGAAGUUAAGCAAUGUCGAGCCAGAUCAGUACUUGGGUGACAACUUUAGAAUAACAGGUGCUGUAA